UACGUAGGGUGCAAGCGUUGUCCGGAAUUAUUGGGCGUAAAGAGCUCGUAGGCGGUUUGUCGCGUCGAAUGUGAAAACCCGGGGCUCAACCCCGGGCCUGCAUUCGAUACGGGCAGACUAGAGUUCGGUAGGGGAGUCUGGAAUUCCUGGUGUAGCGGUGAAAUGCGCAGAUAUCAGGAGGAACACCGGUGGCGAAGGCGGGUCUCUGGGCCGUAACUGACGCUGAGGAGCGAAAGCGUGGGGAGCGAACAGG
rnacentral:rRNA from 1 species